AGAGUUUGAUCCUGGCUCAGAACGAACGCUGGCGGCAUGCCUAACACAUGCAAGUCGAACGCGUGUAGCAAUACACGAGUGGCGCACGGGUGAGUAACACGUGGGAACCUGCCCUGGAGUGGGGGAUAACCCGGCGAAAGCCGGGCUAAUACCGCAUACGACCUGAGGGUGAAAGAUUUAUCGCUCUAGGAGGGGCCCGCGUCGGAUUAGCUAGUUGGUGGGGUAACGGCCUACCAAGGCGAUGAUCCGUAGCUGGUCUGAGAGGAUGAUCAGCCACACUGGGACUGAGACACGGCCCAGACUCCUACGGGAGGCAGCAGUGGGGAAUAUUGGACAAUGGGGGCAACCCUGAUCCAGCAAUGCCGCGUGAGUGAUGAAGGCCUUAGGGUUGUAAAGCUCUUUCGGCGGGGACGAUGAUGACGGUACCCGCAGAAGAAGCCCCGGCUAACUUCGUGCCAGCCGCCGCGGUAUAC
rnacentral:rRNA from 1 species